rnacentral:rRNA from 1 species
CCUACGGGGGGCAGCAGUGAGGAAUAUUGGUCAAUGGGCGGAAGCCUGAACCAGCCAAGUCGCGUGAGGGAAUAAGGCCCUACGGGUCGUAAACCUCUUUUGCCGGGGAGCAAGGGCCGGGACGCGUCCCGGCCCGGAGAGUACCCGGAGAAAAAGCAUCGGCUAACUCCGUGCCAGCAGCCGCGGUAAUACGGAGGAUGCGAGCGUUAUCCGGAUUUAUUGGGUUUGAAGGGUGAGUAGUCGGGCUUUUAAGUCAGCGGUAAAAAUUAGGGGCUAAACCCCGUCCGGCCGUUGAAACUGGGGGCCUUGAGUGGGCGAGAAGAAGGCGGAAUGCGUGGGGUAGCGGUGAAAUGCGUAGAUAUUAGGAGGAACACCGGUGGCGAAGGCGGCUUACUGGACCGUAACUGACGUUGAGGCUCGAAAGCGUGGGGAGCAAACAGGAUUAGAUACCCUUGUAGUC